rnacentral:rRNA from 1 species
GACGAACGCUGGCGGCAGGCCUAACACAUGCAAGUCGAACGAGUGGCGGACGGGUGAGUAAUGUCUGGGAAACUGCCCGAUGGAGGGGGAUAACUACUGGAAACGGUAGCUAAUACCGCAUACCAUCGGAUGUGCACAGAGGGGAUUAGCUAGUAGGUGGGGUAACGGCUCAACUAGGCGACGAUCCCUAGCUGGUCUGAGAGGAGGACCAGCCAACAUGGAACUGGGACACGGUCCAGAAUCCUACGGUAGGCAGCAGGGGGGAAUAUUGCACAAUGGGCGCAAGCCUGAUGCAGCCAUGCCGCGUGUAUGAAGAAGGCCUUCGGGUGGUAAAGUACUUUCAGCGAGGAGGCGUUACUCGCAGAAGAAGCACCGGCUAACUCCGUGCCAGCAGCCGCGGUAAUUC